GUCUGACCCAUGUCAAAUGACAACAAAUAGACAAGUUAGAGACAAGAUCCAUAAGAUCUCAUUUCAUAGGGCAUCUAAAAGAAUCUUUAGGAUAUUGCUUUUAGUUCCUAGAGGAUCACAAUGUGAUUGUGAGCUGAUAUACUAUCUUUUGAAAAAAUAGUUUAUCUAAGAUAGAAGUCGUAAGAGAUAGAUUGGGCUUGAGG
rnacentral:lncRNA from 1 species